rnacentral:lncRNA from 1 species
AUGCAAGCUGAUACGGCGUUUUUCCUUGGCACGGCAGAACUGCUCUGCGGAGACUCAGCACCACUUUUCGGUUGGAUUGAUUCGAACGUAGGUUUUGGUGACACUCCUCGGGAGCCCCGAGUCGCAGUCGCCCCCGUUCACCUUCCGCCGCGAGUCGCCGAAGAACUGGUUUCGACUCCCGCGUACGUUCACGCCCGUCUCCGACUUGGCGUACUCCAUGAGGGUGUUCCUGGCGUUCCUCAGGUACUGGUUCCUGUGCUCGGACAUGUUCUCGACCUUUUUACCGUUCGGGACGCUCGGGGAAUUCCGCCGACUGAACUCGUCCGAGGAGUUACACUCCAGGCUGGCGUUGGAGUAUAUCCGCUGUUUGGACUUGAUCAACGGCGACUUGCCAGAGUCCGACUCGAGGCUGUAGUGGUUCAUGCCGUAGAGUAUGGAGUCGCUCUUCUUCCUCUGGUGCAGGUGGAUGUUGUCCUUGGUCUCCUGGAUGUAGCCCUGGAUGAUGUCCAGCGAGUCCGCGCUGGCCUUCAUCUCGCUCGACUUCUUCGGGAACGUGUCGUGGUUAGUGUGCUGAUGGUGCUUCUUCCGCCGGAAGUGCUUGGACAUGAAGGACUCGAGCGAGGCUUUUCCUAGAUCUAGAGACUUGGUGCUUUUUACAUCGAGGGACUUCUCGGAGAGGACCUCGUCGGACUUGUGGUUGUUCUUUGGUCGAAUCGUCGGCAGACUGUUCUGCGUGAGGCCGGGGAGACCGGCCACGAGGGUCGUGACUUGGGGUCCCUUCUGGAAGACUUGGACUUCGCCCUUGGGCGGGAGGGACUUGUAGCUGGAGGAGGAGGGUGAGUUGGGGGAGCUCCGUCGGGUGCUCGAGGGGGAGGGGGGCACAGGUGGUUCCCUUUUGAUGGCGUGUUCCAGGAGCUCCGCCACUUGCUCUUCGAGGUAGGAUAUCCGGUGAGUGAGGCGGAGGUUGUCGCUCCUGAAGCUGUCGCGCGUUCUCUCGGCCUCGCCGGCUUUUUCCCGGAAGGAGUUAGCUCCUCGCGGAGGUUGAACAUGAGCUGCUCGGACGUCUGCGAGAGCCGCCGGUUCCGCAGGAGAACGAUUUGGGCCGGUUUUGGCGACACAGCCAGUAAGAGAUUCAUGUCUUCUUUGCUCUUCAUGCCCAUCACGACUUUUCCGUUGAUUUCCAGCAAUCUGAAAGCAUUUCACCCAUAAAGCUUAUUAGAAUUGGUUCAUAUCCCUGUUUUCAAAGUAUAUGAUUUACUCUUAUUCCUACUUUCGCAAAAUUUAUGUAGUGCAAUUGUCCUCUUUGAGUCUGUUUUUCGUAAAAUAAAGCCUCGUUUUUGAGAAGCUGUUGGGAAUUGUUAGGGUCAUAAAUGGACCGCGUUAAGCGGAGAGGAACCAAGCCACACCAGCUUUCGUCAAAUUUGAUUUGGGAAUGCAAUUUUUUACAUAAAAACGGUUGAGCAUAUUUUUUUUUGUACGUUUCAGUGAAUUUUAUGCAUAGUACGAAGCAAAUCCCUUUAACAUGUCAAAAAAUCCGUACAAACGUUAUCUCAUAAAAAAUUAAAUUGCUCAGUUGAACUUGACAAUAACUGAUGUGGCUUGGUUCCUCUUUGCUAAACGCGGCCCGAAUGAACAAAAAAUCACAUGUUUCAUUAGAAUUAAAGCGUUCUGAAUAAAACUUUUCUUCGUAAAAUUGAAAUAAGACUCUGCCACCUAUCUUUAAAGCUAAGAAUCCUGCUACAUCUGAAUAGUCGAUUCCUUUCGGUAAACGCUGUCCGUUUAUCCAUCAAUUGCGAAAUUGGAUGUUGAUAAUCAAGGCCCUACCUCGUAAAGUUUAUCAAAAAAGGAGCAAACCUAUGACCAAUAUGUGGAAAUUGAAAAUGGCAAAAAAUUUCUAGCACGAAGGUAAGUUCAGGAAAUAUCCUCAUCUAUCCUUUAAUUAACAUGACAGCACUAAACUUGUUAUGCCGUCAAUUUAAUUUUCGGAAUGGGGAUAAGAUUGAACAUGUUGAGUAAAAUGCCAUUUCAGCAAUAUUCUGAUUUUAAAAUUUCUGUUUCUCUCCUCCAAAAUUCUCAGGCAAUAAAAAUAAACUAGAUAAAGCUAGUAUACAUUUUGCAAAUGGGAAUUACCUUAACUGGCUCAUCAAUAAAAGCAAGUAUGCGCAUGGGGAAAAAUUGUGCAUACGCUGUUCCUAAACUAAGCUAGAAAUCGUAGUUCCUAACUGAAAAAUGUAGUCCAUUUAUAAAAUCAAUUUUUAAAUACAUCGUCGACUAACUAAUGUCGUAAGUAAACACUUUAGAAGGCAACAGGAAAACUAGGCUUGACCAUCAAUAUCAAAGCGCUGCAACGACAAAGCGCUAGAACGACAAAGCGCCUUCGAUUGACAGCAUAUGCAAUUGCGGAGACGAUGAAGUUAAUUAUGUUGCCUAUCAAGCGCGGCGCUUGGCAUUCGUGAUCAAACAAUCUACUUACCGGUCGCCUUUCAUGAGGUCCGAAUCUUCUGUGGCCCAUUCGACGUAGAGCCCUGGAAAAUGGUCCCUGGAGCCUGCUCCAAAUCUCGGACUCUUUGGGUCAAAAUUUAUUUCGACGGCGUGAAUACUGAUUUGCUUAUUCUGCUGCACGUAACUGAAACAUUCAAGGAAAAAAUUCUUUUUUAUUUAAGUCGUUUAAAAUGAAAAAGAAUAAUAAUCACCAUGGCUGUUAAUGGAGAAAACCG